rnacentral:misc_RNA from 1 species
GAAAUGCGAUAAGUAAUGUGAAUUGCAGAAUUCCGUGAAUCAUCGAAUCUUUGAACGCACAUUGCGCCCUCUGGUAUUCCGGGGGGCAUGCCUGUCCGAGCGUCAUUGCGAACCCCUCAAGCACGGCUUGUGUGAUGGGCCCUCCCGCGUCUUGGUCGUCAAGACGGGCCCGAAAUGCAGUGGCGGCUUCGCGGUUAUCCGAUCAGCCAGAGCGUAUGGGGACUUUCUCUCUGUCACACGCCCACGGCGCGGACCGACGCCUGUCGACCUUUAUUCAUCUUUUUCUCGGUUGACCUCGGAUCAGGUAGGGAUACCCGCUGAACUUAAGC